rnacentral:rRNA from 1 species
UAGGGAAUCUUCCGCAAUGGGCGAAAGCCUGACGGAGCAACGCCGCGUGAGUGAUGAAGGUCUUCGGAUCGUAAAACUCUGUUAUUAGGGAAGAACAAAUGUGUAAGUAACUAUGCACGUCUUGACGGUACCUAAUCAGAAAGCCACGGCUAACUACGUGCCAGCAGCCGCGGUAAUACGUAGGUGGCAAGCGUUAUCCGGAAUUAUUGGGCGUAAAGCGCGCGUAGGCGGUUUUUUAAGUCUGAUGUGAAAGCCCACGGCUCAACCGUGGAGGGUCAUUGGAAACUGGAAAACUUGGGUGCAGAAAAGGAAAGUGGAAUUCCAUGUGUAGCGGUGAAAUGCGCAGAGGUAUGGAGGAACACCAGUGGCGAAAGCGACUUUCUGGUCUGUAACUGACGCUGAUGUGCGUAAGCGUGGGGAUCAAACAGG